rnacentral:rRNA from 1 species
AAUUGACCUGGGCGAAGCCUGACCGCAAUGCCGCGUGCAGGAAGAAGGCCUUCGGGUUGUAAACUGCUUUUGUACGGAACGAAACGGUCUGCCCUAAUACGGCGGGCUAAUGACGGUACCGUAAGAAUAAGCACCGGCUAACUACGUGCCAGCAGCCGCGGUAAUACGUAGGGUGCGAGCGUUAAUCGGAAUUACUGGGCGUAAAGCGUGCGCAGGCGGUUAUGUAAGACAGUUGUGAAAUCCCCGGGCUCAACCUGGGAAUUGCAUCUGUGACUGCAUAGCUAGAGUACGGUAGAGGGGGAUGGAAUUCCGCGUGUAGCAGUGAAAGGCGUGGAUAUGCGGAGGAACACCGAUGGCGAAGGCAAUCCCCUGGACCUGUACUGACGCUCAUGCACGAAAG